rnacentral:rRNA from 1 species
GACGAACGCUGGCGGCGUGCUUAACACAUGCAAGUGGAGCGACGAACCAGGGCUUGCCCUGGGGCAAAGCCGCGAACGGGUGAGUAACACGUGGGUAACCUGCCCUGAUGAUUGGGACAACCCGGGGAAACCCGGGCUAAUACCAAAUGUGCUCUCUGGCUCUAAGGCCGGUGAGGAAAGGUAGCUUCGGCUUCCGCAUCAGGAUGGGCCCGCGGCCCAUUAGCUUGUUGGUGGGGUAACGGCCUACCAAGGCUCCGAUGGGUAGCUGGUCUGAGAGGACGAUCAGCCACACUGGGACUGAGACACGGCCCAGACUCCUACGGGAGGCAGCAGUGGGGAAUCUUGCACAAUGCGCGAAAGCGUGAUGCAGCAACGCCGCGUGGGGGAAGAAGGCCUUCGGGUUGUAAACCCCUUUCAGUUGGGACGAAGCUUCGGCGGUGAACAGCCGUUCGGAGUGACGGUACCUUCAGAAGAAGCCCCGGCUAACUACGUGCCAGCCGCCGCCGUAACAC